AGCUUGCUCCUCUGACGUUAGCGGCGGACGGGUGAGUAACACGUGGAUAACCUACCUAUAAGACUGGGAUAACUUCGGGAAACCGGAGCUAAUACCGGAUAAUAUAUUGAACCGCAUGGUUCAAUAGUGAAAGACGGUUUUGCUGUCACUUAUAGAUGGAUCCGCGCCGCNNUAGCUAGUUGGUAAGGUAACGGCUUACCAAGGCAACGAUGCGUAGCCUACCUGAGAGGGUGAUCGGCCACACUGGAACUGAGACACGGUCCAGACUCCUACGGGAGGCAGCAGUAGGGAAUCUUCCGCAAUGGGCGAAAGCCUGACGGAGCAGCGCCACGUGAGUGAUGAAGGUCUUCGGAUCGUAAAACUCUGUUAUUAGGGAAGAACAAAUGUGUAAGUAACUAUGCACGUCUUGACGGUGCCUAAUCAGAAAGCCACGGCUAACUACGUGCCAGCAGCCGCGGUAAUACGUAGGUGGCAAGCGUUAUCCGGAAUUAUUGGGCGUAAAGCGCGCGUAGGCAGUUUUUUAAGUCUGAUGUGAAAGCCCACGGCUCAACCGUGGAGGGUCAUUGGAAACUGGAAAACUUGAGUGCAGAAGAGGAAAGUGGAAUUCCAUGUGUAGCGGUGAAAUGCGCAGAGAUCUGGAGGAACACCAGUGGCGAAUGCGACUUUCUGGUCUGUGACUGACGCUCAUGUGCGAU
rnacentral:rRNA from 1 species